UCGAGAAUUUUUCACAAUGGGCGCAAGCCUGAUGGAGCGACGCCGCGUGGGGGAUGAAGGGUUUCGAUCCGUAAACCCCUGUCAUUUGCGAACAAACCUUGAUUGUGAAUAGCGAUCGAGCUGAUUGUAGCGGAAGAGGAAGGGACGGCUAACUCUGUGCCAGCAGCCGCGGUAAUACAGAGGUCCCAAGCGUUGUUCGGAUUCACUGGGCGUAAAGGGUGCGUAGGUGGUCGGUGAAGUUCGGUGUGAAAGCUCGGAGCUCAACUCCGAAACGGCAUUGAAAACUCAGCGGCUGGAGGGUCGGAGGGGAGACUGGAAUUCUCGGUGUAGCAGUGAAAUGCGUAGAUAUCGAGAGGAACACCAGUGGCGAAGGCGAGUCCCUGGACGACUCCUGACACUGAGGCACGAAAGCCAGGGGAGCAAACAG
rnacentral:rRNA from 1 species